rnacentral:rRNA from 1 species
CCUACGGGAGGCAGCAGUGAGGAAUAUUGGUCCAUGGGCGCGAGCCUGAACCAGCCAAGUCGCGUGAGGGAAGACGGCCCUACGGGUUGUAAACCUCUUUUGCCGGGGAGCAACGUGCGCCACGUGUGGCGCCACUGAGAGUACCCGGAGAAAAAGCAUCGGCUAACUCCGGGCCAGCAGCCGCGGUAAUACGGAGGAUGCGAGCGUUAGCCGGAUUUAUUGGGUUUAAAGGGUGCGUAGGCGGAGCGUUAAGUCAGUGGUCAAAUUGAGGGGCUCAACCCCUUCCCGCCAUUGAAACUGGCGCUCUUGAGUGGAAGAGAAGUAUGCGGAAUGCGUGGUGUAGCGGUGAAAUGCAUAGAUAUCACGCAGAACCCCGAUUGCGAAGGCAGCAUGCCGGCUUCCGACUGACGCUGAAGCACGAAGGCCAGGGGAGCGAAAGGGAUUAGAUACCCGGGUAGUC